rnacentral:tmRNA from 1 species
GGGGGUGAAUGGUCUCGACUUCGGCCGUCGAGAUGAGGGGAAGCGGGCCGAGGACCGCAUUGCUGACCUCGUUAAAAAAGCGAUGCAACAAAAAAUAAGCGCCGAUUCCAAUCGCGCUGACUUCGUUCUCGCUGCCUAAACAGCGAAACGAGUCUGUCAGCCCGGGUUCGUCACCGGCCCGGAUGCUGGCAUCAGCUAGGUGACUUACCGUCCUGGCCGGUCGCGGGGCAGGACGGGACAACUCACAGCGACUGGGCCUGUCACACCGACUUGUGUGCAUGAUCGGUGGGGCCGAGUAGAGACACCGCACACUGCGCCCGGAGAAGACCCAUCAAAGCGACGAAGGACCCGGGUUCGAUUCCCGGCACCUCCACAC